AUGACCGCCGCUUCUCCCUGUUCCCUUCCCUCCCCGCACUUCCCGUCGCUGCCGCCAAUCCACCACCGCCCACCGCCCACCGCCCACCGCCCUCGAGAGGGAAAAGCCUCGGCCCGUCCACCGACGCAGCAUUCCACACCAAAAGCCCAGGUAAAUUGGCUUCGUCUCCCCGCUCUGCGGCGAUGGAGGAAGGAGGAGGUGCAGAGCACCGCGAAUUCCAUCGCCACAGCCUCGCGCAGCCGCGUCGUCCUUCUCCGGCAUCGCGCGAUCCCUAGCAGACAGAUUAGUCAACAAAGAAAAAUUAAGUGGUGGAGAUCUUCCUAAAAUGAAAUCAAGACGAUGAGAUAAGAAUGGAGAUUUAAUGUGGUUUGUUGGAGAUGCCAAAGGUAGGAGAUGAAGGACAGUUGGAAGGGGAUAAUGGAGGACAAUUAUAGCGUCACUAGAGCCUGGGGCGGAGAGGUAGGGGCUGUCUGUGCAGGUUUGCAGUGCAGCUGGGCCAAACAUCGCUUACAGUUUAAGCUGUAGGCUGUUAUAAAGUAAAAGCUGCGGAGGUACAGUUUCGGCCACUGUGUGCAGGAAGAUGAGAAGUCAAGCAGUAGCAAUUGGCGCAUGUAGGUUCCACGGGGCACUCAGCGAGAUUCAAUCUUCACGUGACAUUUAGGCCGACCUUUUAUUAUGGAUCGCUGGGGGGAAGAAUCGUAAAAGUUUCAGGUGUCAACAAAUUGUGUCGCUGCGGAAAAGAGGGAUCAGACCAAAGCAGUGGCCUUGGUAGGGCAAGGUAUUAUCCUCGAGGACACUAAGGUUCAUGCCCAAGCAUCCAUAUUUUAAUGGUUUAGUCGGGAUAUUUUCUGAGUUGACAUUUGCAUCUCCCAGAGGGAAGACCAGGGCGUAGGCAUGCCACCUUUCGCGGCCGUGGGGGGUUGAAAAUGGCUGCUCCUAUUGGAUGAUGGGAAAAGGCACCACAAGAUAACGUCUUGGGGCCUACCGCCGGCGACCACAUCGCAUCGGGGCAUGCCUUGGGGUACCACACGCACUGAUGACUGCCAGUAAUCACUAAGCAGUGCAUUAAGGAUGUAACAUCAGCUCAUUAAUUAAGCCACUGAAUGUCUCUAGUCGCCGGGAUUCAUAGAAGAGGGAGUAUAUUCGUCAACUUGAAGAGGGAGGGGAUGAGAAGUGACCUUGCUUCCUUUAAAUCUUGUCAUGAGUGACGGUCAAUGCCGGCAGUGUAUAAUAUACAAAACAGAUAGGGGGCAGCAAAAACCAUAGACAGCGGAGGGACCAUCCUGGAUGGUUUCAUGGAUGCUGGACAGUUGCAGAUAAGUAUCCUUUUAUUCUAUGGUAUACACGAUAGCCAGCCAGGAGAUCAUGAGAUCAAACCAGAUACUCUUGGCUGUGUGAAUUCGUUGGCGGAAAGUAGCUUGAUUUAUCCAGAUUUAAUUCCCAAUAGACAAAAAAAAGAAAGAAAGAAAAUGGACUAAAAACAUAAAAUUAUAGGGCCUCGUUUGAGAUACUAGCUAGAGUAUUGCCAUACUAUGAACAGUGCUAGGUUUAAUUCCGUUUUGGGUGGGAUAUUUGUACUAUGUACGACUGCCAAAAGAAUAUAAUAUUAUCGACAAUUAAGUAAAUAUGCGUACUGUGGUGUCAACUGUUGCUGAUUGGAACUACUACUUGGCAGCAGCAGCAUGGGUACUACUCCCGGUACUACUUAAAACCAUGGGAGGGCUCAGCACUGGAGUACGGCGGUCGCUCACCGGAUCCAAGAAGAAAAAAUCUCUCCCAUUUCCUGUUGCGUCCGGAGGUUUUGUUUGGGUUUCCUUUCGGAUUUUUGGGUUGUUUGCUGCUUUUGUGUCGGAAGUUGUUCUUCGGUUGUGCAAUCUGUGAAGUAAUGUUAGCUCCUGGUGUGGGGAGGCCCUCGAGAGAUUGACAGAAGAGAGUGAGCACAUGGCGUGAUGCCGGCAUAACAUGUAUGCCGUCUUCGCCGCGUGCUCACUCCUCUUUCUGUCAGCCUCUUUCUCUCAGGAGUUUACGUUACAUUCAGAUCCACUGGUGGGUAUGUAGAACUAAUUUGAUUCAAUUUCAAUUCAAUAGUUCAUAAUUUUCCACACAAAAAAGAAGGUUAACCCCUGCUUAUGAGAGGAACUCAGCCACAAAAGAAAGACAGAACACGCAUGCGGCAUGUACUCUGGCUGUUCUCCGACUUUACCAUGCCACUUCCUUAUCUCUUUAGAUGUGUGCGCACGCAAAAAAAUAAAAUAAAAUAAAUUGCUCUGUUGUUUUGAUCUUUUCAGUCAAGUUGCUCCUGGGAACUACUACCGAGGAGAGUGAUACGGAUGCUAGUGGUAAUUGUAAGGAGUGGCAGCUGUAGGCUUGUAGUACUGGAAUAAAUGAUUGGAUUUGUUACUUGUUUUUUUCAUCCCCAAAUUGUUUUAUCUUCUCCCUUUGCAGUUGUACUCGCCUUGGGAGCUGAAUCAUGGAGAUGCUGCCGGUACACUGCAACAUGCACCAGCUCUCUCUCUCUCUCUCUCUCUCUCUCUCUCUCUCUCUCACCCCAACAACCCCCCCCCCCCCCCCCCUUCUUCUUUCCUGUUGCCUUGUUUUCCAUGGAAGCAGGUUUUAGCCAUGGUGGUGGGGCUUCAGCAAGUUCUUGUUGGGGUAAAAAUGGAGCAUGGAGUAAACUAAGAGAUGAGCUAUAUUUGGCAAGGAAGGUGGCCUCACUUUGCUUUUGCCAGAUCUAGUUUGCAUCUUAGGAUAAGAGCAUCAUGUUAAUAGCGAACGUAACAAGCUGCACCAUCAAUUUGGACAAGGUAUGCAUACACAAGAUCAGAGAGGGAGUUAGUAGAGAAAGCGCAUAAACAAGAUCACGACCAACAACAAGCAGAAGUUGGCCAAAACAGCAUCACUCUCCGAACGAGACUCCAAAGAGGGCACGCUUGUAUGCUCUGCUGCCAAGUGCCAACUUGAUCGGGUUUUUGUACCCGCUGAGUCAGACAAGGUGAACAACUAGGUGGUGGUAGAAGAACAUCGACCAGGGAAAAUAUUUGGCAUGCAUCACUGAAGUUGCUCUGUAGCGGUGUACUGUUCCAGGCAACACGGCGCUACUACACAAAGUUGGCAGUUUGCCACAUACAAGAACUGUCCAGCAACAUAUCACUUAAUCAAAUGAAUUACAAUUCACAUGACGGCGAACUGCAUUGUUACUUUGUGCAGAAGCCCAUCAAAGUUUCGACAUAAACACGGGCGCCGUUGAAUUUUGAGGCGGCGAACUCCCUCUACUAGCAAGCCCCUGCAACGAAAAAUUGAUGACGCAGUGAGGACCUCGAUGUGUGCCAUACAUCUUCAGAAACGGCACAUCAGGAAUGCGUGUUUGAUCAAAUUAGUAGCAGGGAUUUCACCGCUUCAUAGAGGUAUUCUUGCACAGGGGUGAACUUCAUGCCAAGGUCCUUCAGAGGCUGGUUGGUGUACUUGUAACCCUUCUUUGGCGGAUUUACCUCGUCCUUACAUCUGUACAGGCGAAGCAAAGCCAUCGCUUUCGUUUUACGAAAGUUACAGGUAACUACCAACAACUUGUGGUCUAUCAAGGGAACAAUUGCAAGCAAGAUUGUGUAAAAACAUUAGCACAUUCGUGGAAUGAUUCUAUCAACGGCACAAUUGCAAGCAAGAUUGUGUAAAAACAUUAGCACAUUCGUGGAAAGAUUCUAUCAACGGAGCAAUUGCAAGCAAGAUUGUGUAAAAACAUUAGCACAGUCAUGGAAAGAUCUAUUCUUAAUUCA